rnacentral:snRNA from 1 species
AUUGUGCGGUGCAGUGUA